GGCGCUAUAGCCAAGUGGUUACGGCGACAGAUUAGAAAUCUGUUGGGGUUCCCCCGCGCAGGUUCGAAUCCUGCUGGCGUCG